UACUUUUGUAUUAUUCAAGUGUGUCAAUUCUAAGGCUUUGCUAAGAAAGUCACACCGAUAGGGUAUGUUUGGAAACAGACAUAUCUCCCGUGUUUGGAAUGAAUAAUUAUAUUUGAUUUU
rnacentral:ncRNA from 2 species